rnacentral:misc_RNA from 1 species
GAAAUGCGAUAAGUAGUGUGAAUUGCAGAAUUCAGUGAAUCAUCGAAUCUUUGAACGCACAUUGCGCCCCUUGGUAUUCCAUGGGGCAUGCCUGUUCGAGCGUCAUUUGUACCCUCAAGCUCUGCUUGUUGUUGGGUGUUUGUCCCCGUCUCCGCGCGUGGACUCGCCCCAAAGUGAUUGGCAGCCGGCGUACUGGUCCCGGAGCGCAGCACAUGUCGCGCAAACGAGUGCCUUGGUACGGCGGCGUCCAUAAGCCCCUCUCUCACGCUCUUGACCUCGGAUCAGGUAGGGAUACCCGCUGAACUUAAGC